AGAGUAGACAUGUGGGCAAAACCAUGUGGUGGUGGUGGUGGGUUCUGAUUUUGUGGAUUCGCCUGCAGCUCGUUCGAACAUCCUUCAGGUGGUUGUUGGGAGCUGCGUGUCUACCCAUCCCACAGUAAACCUCGGAUAGAAGAAGUAUCCUCCUUCUGUCGGGACUCCGGUAUCGAGAAGGCCUCGGAGAAGAGGAUCGACGUCGGUGACCGGGCGGCCAAUGAGGGUACUGCUAGAGCCUCUGAAAGUGAAGCUAACAAUGCUGGCAAAGUCGCUGGUGGAAUGCGGGAUCAGUUGAGACAAACGUCCUCCGGUGCCUCAAAAGUUGCAAAUAACAAGACAAGUUCUUCCGGUUGGUUUCAACAAAUUGGUGACGCUGUUUUCAAUGCUUACGAUUCAUUUCUGGAUAUGCUGGAGAACGCCACUCCCAAAAAGUAGGUUCUCUCUUUGCAAGGUAGGACUGUGCAGACCGUAUCCCAGCGUGCGAAGAGCUUCAGCGUUGGGUUGAAGAUUCUUCAGUGCGUUGUUACUGUUACUGCAAGUUCUCGAACGUUCACACAAACGUUCUGAAAAUCAUUUCCGUUUUGCUUCUUGCCUCCUUCGGUACCCUCUCCCGCAAUGCCUAAACAUUCCCCGCCUUCAAUCCCCAUGUAUACACUCGUCCGUUUUUUAGCUUUUCUUGUGGUCUUCCAAGUUUUCUGCUGUCGUUGUUCUCAUGGUUAUUUGCGUUUACGGUAAUACUGCUCUAGUGUAACUAUUGAUCAAAACCUCAGACUCUUCGUGUACUUGACAGUGAAAACAACGCAAGGGUGCUGAGGCUAGUCUACUUGAUCUUAUCCUUUAUCACUGGAGAAGUCCUCAAUACUUGCGGUGAUCAAUAGCUAAGUUAUGUUCUCAGCAAAUGUUAGAGAAGGCAAUUGUAGGGCGGUUGCCUGACUAUAUGUCCAGUGGCCACACCCCGAUGAGUGUAGACAUUGUAAUGCAUAACAAUAUACAUUAAGAAAGAUUCAAGCCACGUACUCCAAGGACUUGCAGUGCAACAAGGAAAAGGAAGGUUAAUUUUUAGAGAUCAGUAUAUAGUGCCUGAAUGGUGCUCAAAGAUAGAGAAACUUAAUGGGAAAAAAACUCGUGGAUAAAAACGUCAUGAAUUGGUCAGCUUCAAUUGAUGGUUGAAUCAGCAUUAAUGAAAAUGAUCACUUUUUGUUGCACA